UUAUACAUAAGACAUACGGGCCUAUAAGAUUAAAAUAACCACUUGCACACUGAACAUAGGCCGACAAGGCCAUACAAUCUUUUACAUACAUGACAUCUGUCUACAACCUCUAAGAGUACAUAAUUUUCAUAAAGGUCGGGACAGAGUCCCGCCAUACUAAACAAUACACGUCUAAAUCAUACUAACCAAAGAAGCAACUCCGAAGCAAAUGGAGCGCACCAACAUCUUCCGCUGAGCUGAUAGCCUACUUGUAGGGCUCUCGACCUGUCUUUCGGGACCUGCAGGCAUGAAACACAAUGUCCCCAGACAAAAGAGACGUCAGUACAAAUAAUGUACCGAGUAUGUAAGACACAUAAAUAAGUGUAUAAAAGAUAUGGAAGAAAUAUAGAGUACGUGACUCAACCUGUAAGUAUGGACAACUCUGUAAAUCAUGAAAUACUUAUAGUGUCAUGCAUAUGCGUAUGAAUAUCAUGUCAUGCUUAAGUACGUGGGUUUAUAUUAUUAUCAAGCCUCUAAGGGCGUCCCAUCAUAUCAUCUCAACCACUGUGGGAAAAAUCAUCAAUGUAUACCAGCUGAUCAAGUGGUGGUGCUUAUAUAACGCCAUAAUCUUUCCCAUAUAUAUACACGCGUAUAUAACGUCAUCUGGUCAUGGGUUAAUGUGCAUAUAUAAAUGCAUGAAAUGCAUAUGAAAUACAUUAAUAAAUUUUUUUCGGAAUGCCACAAAAAUCAAUAUACCUUUCGGAUAAACUUUAUCAAAUACAUAUUUUCUAAGACCCAUGCACAGAAGAUAUAAUAAUAAUUCACGUGGGGAAUUAAGAAUAUAGAUACCCCUAGUAUUUCUAUGAAUAGACAUUUAUGAAAGUUGUGUAUUUUGCUCGUUUCAUUUGUAUUAUUUGGAUCAUGCCAAAAAGAAAGAAGGGAUAACCUUAACAUACCUGGAGUAGGGAAAAAUCCAUAUGAUAUUUUUAGAAAAGGUUGCACCGUACUCCCUUAAAAUUGCAAAAUCUCACGUUGCUAGUGUGCUAAGAAAUCUCGUUGGAUUUUGGUUGAAGAAUGAAAAUCUUCACUGUCGCAGUGAGCUUAAUUUGCUAAAGAAUAAUUUGAAGUUGGUAAACAUUGGGUGAUGUCGGCUGCUACUACAAUUUAAAUUCAUAUUGAAGUUAUAUCCAUUUGAUGUUGUGUUUCUGCUAUGUAAAUAGUAGUUACGCUAUAGCUCAUCCAAGAUGGAAAUAGAUGAAUGCUUAUGUACUUUGUUUUGCUGAACCUUUC
rnacentral:lncRNA from 1 species